GCGCUAUUUUGGGAAGGGGUCGCUUCGCUGCAGCAAAAUAGCGCCUAAAACGCUUCGAUCAGCCUGGGCGCCGCCUAGGCGCAGCGCUCUGCUCAGGGCGGUCAACACAGAGGCGCUCAAAGCGGCCCAAAAGAAAAAAGCCCAUGGAUGAGUGAUGAGUCCAGAAGCUGCUGCUGCUGUCCUCUUCUCCGCUGCUGCUGCCUGCUGCUGCUGCUGUCCUCUUCUCCUCUUCUCCUCUUCUCUCUACUCCGGCUGCUGCUGCUGCUGCUGCCUGCUGCUGUCCUCUUCUCCUCUUCUCUCUACUCCGGCUGCCUGCUGCUGCUGCUGUCCUCUUCUCCUCUUCUCCUCUUCUCUCUACUCCGGCUGAUUGCCUGAUUGACUGUAUUGAUGUUUUGCUGAUUGCUGUCAGGGGUCUGAUCAGGGCGCCGCCUGGGCGGUCGAGGCGGUGAGGCAGAA
rnacentral:lncRNA from 1 species